rnacentral:rRNA from 1 species
CCUACGGGUGGCAGCAGUGGGGAAUAUUGGGCAAUGGGCGCAAGCCUGACCCAGCAACGCCGCGUGAAGGAAGAAGGCUUUCGGGUUGUAAACUUCUUUUCUCAGGGACGAAGAAAGUGACAGUACCUGAGGAAUAAGCCACUGCCAACUACGGGCCAGCAGCCGCGGUAAGACGGAGGCGGCCAGCUUUAUCCGGAUUUAUGGGGUGGAAAGGGAGUGUAGGCGGGAGCGCAAGUCAGAUGUGAAACCUCAGGGCUCAACCCUGAGACUGCAUUUGAAACUGUGUUUCUGGAGUGCUGGAGAGGCAAGCGGAAUUCCGUGUGUAGCGGUGAAAUGCGUAGAUAUAAGGAGGAACACCAGUGGCGAAGGCGGAUUGCUGGACAGUAACUGACGCUGAGGCGCGAAAGCGUGGGGAGCAAACAGGAUUAGAUACCCUAGUAGUC